AAUUAGGCAGCAACCUUUUUGCCCUAUGCCAUAACCUGUGUCUGCAACUUCCUCUAAUUGGGAAAUAGUUAAGCAGAUUCAUAGAGCUGAAUGAUAAAAUUGUAUUACGAGAUGCACUGGGACUCAAUGUGACCUUAUCAAGUGAGAUGGAGUCUUGCCCUGUCUCCCAGGCUGGAGCCCAAUGGCAUGAUCUUGGCUCACUGCAACCUCCACCUCCCAGGUUCAAACGUUUCUCCUGCCUCAGCCUCCCAAGUAACUGGGAUUACAGCAGGCUUGGUGAAUUUGACACUUCAUGAAAUCAGCUAAAGUGGAACUAAAAACAGCUCCUGGAAGAGGACUAUGACAUCAUCAGGUUGGGAGUCUCCAGGGACAGCGGACCCUUUGGAAAAGGACUGGAAAGUGCAAAAUCUAUCAGUCUUCGAUAUGAAAUUCUCUGUCUCCGUAAAAGCAUUUCAUAUUUACAAGACACAGGCCUACUCCUAGGGCAGCAAAAAGUGGCAACAGGCAAGCAGAGGGAAAAGAGAUCAUGAGGCACUUCAGACUGCACUCUUUUCAUAUAUUUCUCAAUACCGUAUGUUUGGUUUUAUUUUGGCCAAGCAUAACAAUCUGCUCAAAAAAAAAAAAAAAAAUCUGGAGAAAACAAAGGUGGCUUUGCCAAUAUUAUGUUUCUUUUUGACAAGCCCUGAGAUUUCUGAGGGGAAUUCACAUAAAUGGGAUCAGGUCAUUCAUUUAUGUUGUGUGCAAAUAUAAUUUAAAGAUACA
rnacentral:lncRNA from 1 species